UAUAGAUUUAAAAUUGAUAAAACUAAAGUAGUAUUAGUUAUGAUCUUGAAACUUAAAGAAUUUGGCGGUAUUUUAGUCUAUUUAGAGGAAUCUGUUCCAUAAUCGAUAAUCCACGUUGGACCUUACUUUAUUUAUUUAGUUUGUAUACCGCCGUUGUUGAAAAUCUUUAUAGGGAAUUUUCUUAAUAUUAUAAUUUAUAGUAUUUCAGGUCAAGGUGCAGCUUAUAAAAAAGUGGAAAUGGAUUACAUUAUUUUAAAAUGUGAAUUAGAUUAUGAAAAAUUUUAUGAAAGUGGAUUUAAUAGUAAUUAUGUAAAUAUAAACAUUAUGAUUUAAGCUCUAGAAUGUGU
rnacentral:rRNA from 1 species